GGGAAUCUUGGGUGAGUUCCCACACUUUUUUCCCCAGGACUUGACCCCUGGUAAUAUCCCUCUUUAUUGAAUAAAGGUGCAUCUCCGGGCAGUUUGUUAGCAACUCUUGAGUGAACAAUGUUUGUGCCUGUGGUUCAAAUGCAGGAGUUUCAUUUGCUAGUAAUACAUCUUCUAAACUCUUUUGGCUUGAUUGAGAUUUUUUGGUAUUGAGAAAACAAAACUGGGUGUAAAUCUUUUUUCUCUUUUUUCUUUUUAUCUCCAUGAGGCUUUCUUGCAGCCAUAUC